CAGUAGCCACGGGAAUACGGUGGGGGCUAGCGUUGUUCGGAAUUACUGGGCGUAAAGCGCACGUAGGCGGCUUGGUAAGUUAGAGGUGAAAGCCUGGAGCUCAACUCCAGAAUUGCCUUUAAGACUGCCGAGCUAGCAGGUGAGAGAGGUAAGUGGAAUUCCGAGUGUAGAGGUGAAAUUCGUAGAUAUUCGGAAGAACACCAGUGGCGAAGGCGGCUUACUGGCUCAUACUGGACGCUGAGGUGCGAAAGCGUGGGGAGCAAACAGGAUUAGAUACCCCAGUAGUCCCUGUCUCUUAUAC
rnacentral:rRNA from 1 species